GAAAAAUAUAAUCGCGACGGGUGCAAUUUACGAAUAAAUAUAAUAUAGGUGUACCUUUACAUAGUAUAUAUAUUGGGGUUGGAUUUCUGGAUGAAAUAAUAAAAGAAACUGUGAAAUGUUUUUUGAUCAAAAUCGUAAACGUGUAAAAUACCAAGUAGUUAUAAUAAUAUAAACUUGCACGGAAAAUCGUUAAAAAAUUGUAAAAAAAAAAAAAAUAAGAAAUAAGAAAGCCUGUUAUACUUUGCACUAUGGACAGACCACUGUUGUAUAGAUGAGAAAUUGAGUAUGUAGAAUAUAUUUAUAGGGCAAUUUAGUUAAGGUACG